rnacentral:tRNA from 1 species
GAAAGUGUGGUUCAAAUGGUAGAGUACCUGCCUAGAAAGCACAAGGCCCUGAGUUCAAACCUCAGUACUAUUA